AACUCAGUCCAGUUCUAACCCUGGUUUGACCUGAACACACCUGCACUGGUGUACAGGACUGACGUCUGCCCCCCCCAUUCUGCUGGACGGCUGCCAGUCACGGGUCACAUGACCUGGAAGAAAAAACCUACGAGCCUUCUGGGAUCCGUCAGCGCAUGGGCCGCCUGUCAACCUGAAGGGACAUCUAAAGGCUGAUGAACUGACCUGUGUGCUUCUGAGACCAGUUCACCCAGUACCUCUGACUGGUUUCCUAUGAGCCCUGGGAACUCAACACCAAGUGCAAAUC